rnacentral:lncRNA from 1 species
UAAAUGUAAAAUAUAGUGUAGAGAUUGAUAGAAUAUAAUAAGAGUAUGAGUUGUAUACUUUCGAGGGUAUAGAGGCAGCUGUGAUUUAAAGUUGUUUUUUAUUAUAAGAUAUCUAAUACGACAAUCGGUUCAGUUAGUCAUAAUAUACACAAUUGAAUCAAUCUAAAAAGAAAUUGGAAAAACUUCAAAUAUAUACCACCCUUUUGGUUUCACACUUUCUCACUUUAGUACCUUGUGGUUUAAAAUGUAUUAAUUUAGUACCCUGUGGUUUCAUUUUUAUAAUUUUAUUAUCGAUUUCACUAAUUUUUUCGUUAAAUCAGUGACAAAGUUAAAACUAAAAGGUACUAAAGUGAGUAUUUAAUAAAACUUAAAUGGGGCAUCUGAAGUUUUCUGUACAUACUUUAACGAAAUAUUAACGAAAAAGCUGACGAAAAGAUAUAAAUGAAACCACAGGACACUAACUAGCUUGAUACACUUUAAACCGCAUGAUACUAAAGUGAGAAAGUGCGAAACCACGGGGGUAGUAUUUGAAGUUUAU